GACGAACGCUGGCGGCGUGCCUAAUACAUGCAAGUCGAACGCUUCCUUCCUCCCGAGUGCUGGCAAUCAAUUGGAAAGAGGAGGGGCGGACGGGUGAGUAACACGUGAGUAACCUACCACGCAGGGGGGGAUAACACGUGGAAACAGGUGCUAAUACCGAAUAACAGUUUAUGCCGCAGGGCAUAAGAGUGAAAGGCGCUGGCGGGAGUCGUUGCUGGAUGGACCCGCGGUGCAUUAGCUAGUGGGUGAGGUAACGGAUCACCAAGGCCACGUUGCAUAGCCGCCCUGAGAGGGUGCUCUCCCACGCUGGUACUGGGCCAUGGCCCAGACCCCUACGGGCGGCACCCGUCGGGAAUCCUCGGCAAUGGACGAAAUUCUGACCGAUCAACGCCGCGUGAGUGAAUAAGGUUUUCGUAUCGUAAAACUCUUUUGUUAGCGAAGAUCGAGGACGUUAGUAACUGAACGUCCCCUGACGGUAUCUAACCAGAUAGCCACGGCUAACUACGUG
rnacentral:rRNA from 1 species